CUGGUGCUCGUAGAGCAAGUGCUUCACUUUCUGUUUGUAAACCUAAAGCGAGGGCCACAACUCAGAGCCUGGACACAAACACAAGUUAGGGGGCCAGGCCUGCGGAGGGGACACGUCCUGGAUGCAAAUGUGACCCCAGAGCCCUCCUAGCUGGGGCGCCCCAGCAGUGAUUCGAAGCCAGAAGCUGCCUCCGAGUGAUGUCCCAGAAGGUGUGGAUCUUGUCUCGCUCCAGCUGAAAGUAGUUGCGUUCCUCCCUUUCCCUGUCCAGCUCCUCCCUGAUCCUCAUGAUGUGUUCCUCCACCUGCAGAAACAAGAGGUUGGGCAGGUGCCUUAAAUAAAUGGAAAAUCACUCAUCAACAUAGCUGGGCACAUUGGUUCGAUAGCUUCCAUCUUGGCAUGGUUUUGUUGCCUAACAGGACCUUUAGGUGAGCCGUGAGCACAUGGACAUAGAGAGGCUUUUUGAUAUGCCAUGGAGAGAGGGGCCAUCUUGACUCACACUUCUGCCCAGGCCAUUCUUCCCAUCAGAAAUGUCCACUCCAAGGAUAUUCCACUUCACAUGCUACUUGCCACAAUAUCUGCCAAUGUUCUUUUACCCAUUAAUUAAUCACAUGCAUAUGGUCACUUCAUCAAGCAUUUGGUAAGCCCCUAUUAUGUGCCAGGCAUUUGGUACAAAAAGAUAAUAAAGGAAAUAGUCU